CCCUUAGAUGUUCUGGGCCGCACGCGUGCUACACUGAGUGGAUCAGCGGGUCAGGUUGCGCGAAAGUGUUUCCUAAUCUUGAAAUCCGCUCGUGAUGGGGAUUGACGGUUGCAAUUUUCCGUCAUGAACGAGGAAUACCUUGUAAGCGCGGGUCAUCAUCCCGCGCUGAAUACGUCCCUGCCCUUUGUACACACCGCCCGUCGCUCCUACCGAUUGAGUGGUCCGGUGAAGCCUCGGGAUUGUGGCGGUUGCCUUUAUUGGUGGCCGCCGCGAGAACUUGUCUAAACCUUAUCAUCUAGAGGAAGGUGAAGUCGUAACA
rnacentral:rRNA from 1 species